ensembl:lncRNA
AGAGGGAAACAGCCCCAGGUGGGUGCAUUCAGGUAGAGAAUUAAUGAUGGAGACAGCGUGAGGGUUGAUACCUCAGCAAGGCAAUGGUCUCCUCCAUGCGUGUGCAGCUCCUAUUGCUGCUGUUGAAUCAUCUCUGUAAGUGCAUGAGGGAUAUGAAACGUUGCCCAAAAUAUGCUGAGAAAACCCAGAUCCAGAACCUAAGAAUGCUGCCAAGGAGUCACCAGGGCAAACCUCAGCGCUCUGCUUUGCACGAGGACAGCGGGCUGCCAGCAGUGCCCUGCUAUGGAGAGGCUGCCCUAUGGCCGAGCAACAGCACCGCAGCACUGAGAUGCUGAAGACAAAAUCACCACGAGCAGGAAAAAGCCUCCCCAGGACCUGGCAGGGCUGACUUUCUCCUGUUUCAAAGGCAGCGUGGGACAGAUGAGGGAGAUUUGCAUUCCCAGGCAAAUGGAAGUCCGGCUCCGUGCCCACCGAGGGAUGGGGCUGCUCCAAAGAGAUGGGAAAGUCCUCUGCUCAGGGGCAAAACACAGCUGAGACCCGGGCUUGGCCUGCAAGGUGGCUAACGAGGCUCUCAUUGCCUCGAGAGGAGGAAAAAGCAGCACGGCGCAUUCACUGCAGGCUGACUCAUUUUUUCCCGUCUGAAAGACAAAGCGAACGUAAACCCAGCUCAGACUCGAGCUCCCAGGUUCGUUUAUUACCGGCUCAUUUGAGAAUAAAUAUUUUAUCCCUUUUUUUUAUCU